rnacentral:tRNA from 2 species
CGCGGAAUGGAGCAGAUGGAAGCUCGCUUAUCGCUCAUUAAGAGACGAAGGUUCGAUUCCUUCUUCCGCAA